rnacentral:lncRNA from 14 species
CCCCACUUCAUGCUUGCUUUUAAGAUUUUUAACAGUUCCCUGCACACUGAGAGAGGCUUGGAAAUGGAGAGAUGGAGUCUUCGGCUGGAGAGAUGGCUCAGCAGUCAAGAGCACUGACUGCUCUUCCUGAGG